AUUGAACGCUGGCGGCGUGCCUCAGACAUGCAAGUCGAACGAUUAAAGCUCUCUUCGGAGAGUGUAUAGAGUGGCGCACGGGUGAGUAACACGUAAGUAAUCUACCUUCGAGUGGGGAAUAACGUCCGGAAACGGACGCUAAUACCGCAUAAUGCAGCGGCAUCGCAAGAUGACAGUUGUUAAAGAUUUAUCGCUUGAAGAGGAGCUUGCGGCAGAUUAGCUAGUUGGUAAGGUAAUGGCUUACCAAGGCUACGAUCUGUAACCGGUCUAAGAGGACGGUCGGUCACACUGACACUGAAUAACGGGUCAGACUCCUACGGGAGGCAGCAGUCGGGAAUUUUGGUCG
rnacentral:rRNA from 1 species